rnacentral:lncRNA from 1 species
AUGGAAAUAACUUUAUGGUAUUUUUGACUGCUUAACUUUGUAAGUCUUCCAUAUACACAAAUUCACAAGUCAAGAGAAAAAAAAACUUUAGUCUGUCAAAUGCUGUCUUCCGAUUUUGGUGAGGGCAACAUUUUUGCUGGAACUGCCUCUCUGUUGGUUCUCUGAGCUUGUUGACAUAACAUUUAACAUUUACUUAAAAGGGAAAAAGGCACUCAGAAUACAUGGAAAAAUCAAUGAAAGUCCGAGGAAAAACCAUGGUUAAUGUUUAACAUUCAUGUUGGUUAGCGGAGCCUUUUUUAACCCCUCCCCGCCUUCCUCCUUUGGACCUCCCACAUCCAGCCCACCCUCAGCUACAGCCUGGGGAUGCUUCUGAGGAGUGCCCGCCAGAUGGGCUUGCUCAGAAAUCUUCUGUGGCUCUCAGAUGCGUGAAAUCUACUUCCACAGCCUUAGCCUGCGACUCCCGCCUUCCUCAGGCCGGCCCCCACCUGCCUCUUCCUCCGUACUUUCCACUGCAUCCUGUGUCUCUGCUUUCCCCGUUCAGCUCUGCCCACCUCACCUGUGUGAGCCGAGCCUCUGAUCUAGCUGACCCCGGUCUGUUCAUGCGAUCUCCAGUUUUCGUUAAAAGCCCACUCUCUGAAGAGCCCUCCCACAUAUCAGGGGUUGGGCAUAACAAAGAGAAAUUAAUGAAGAAAGAGGAAUCUCUGCCACCAGCCCUGGGAUUUUCUGUCUCUGAUGCCUUAUUUAUUAUUUACGACUACCUCCGCUGUACUGUGAGCACCUACAGGCGUGUCUUGUCCACGUCUUUGUUCGGGACCUCAAGAACCUGGAAAGAAUCAAACCCCAGGGAACCCACCGUCCUAAGUCUGGGUCUUACUCAUCUUGAUCAAGGCAUUAUUCCCUUCUGAAUGUAGCACUUUUACAAGAAUCCAAAGGUCAUGAUCAACCUUCAGAAAGACAUUUUGUAUUUUACCACCAAAACAGUGGUACAGGCCUUACUAGACUUCUAUAAGCAGGACUUCAUUUCCUGGGAAAUCCUGAAGCAUCUCACUUUAUCUGGAAGGAGAAAGUGAAGGAAAGUAUUUGCCUUUGUGGGUUUUCAUAGCUCCUGAACAUGGCAAAUUGCUUAAUUCGUUUUUUUGUGUUUUUGUUUGUUUGUUUGUUUGUGUUUUAGCUUUGGGUGGCAAUUGAUUUUCUUUUACUGCAUGUAGAGUGCCAUCUUGUGGCCAAGAAGCAUACAGCACUCAUAUUUUCCUGUGCUCUGGGGCUGAUUUUGGGGUUUUGACAAGCUUUUGUAACUGUGCUUCUGUAAUCCCACGUUUUUCCACACUGAGGAUCAAAUACAGGGCCUCCUUCAUUUUAGGCCAGUGCCCUACCACAGAGUGUUCUAUCUCCAGCCCCUAUUAUUCCUCCUUAUUUCUGUAGUCUGGAGAAUCUCCGAGUGAAGAAACGAGAGUUAUUGGGUGAUCAUGUAUACGGUUUACUGCUAAGCCAACUCCAGUUGGCCUUCAUCUCUCGAGGAUAUACUUAUAAGCACUUAUGAUUACUGUGUUGUGUGCGUUUCCCAUCUUCUCUCUUUGCAGUGCCCCGAGAGCUGUCCCCUCUCCCAACACAGUGUUUUGUUUUUGCUUUUGAGAAAGAUCCCAUGUGAAAUUGAGGAAAUGGUAGGAGUCGUCUUUGGGAGGCGUGGGAUUGAGGGAGCUCAAGACCACUUUAGAAAGGCCCAAGCUCAAGUGGGACUUUUAAAGGAGACUUUCUGCUGGAGUCUGUGACAGCUGUAGGUGAGGGGCGGCAGGACACCGGGGUCAGGCCCUAUUGUACAGCUUUGGGGAAAAGGACAGAAUAAUAAACCUCAAAUACAGUGAGAAAAACUUCAGACGAUCCAAGCGACCAGACCACAGAAAGAAACUGAAAGACAGGAUAUUGUGAACUAAUUGCUCCCAAUAUGCACUAAAUCUUCUGUGGUGUUGAUAUCAGAACCCCACAAGCUCUUCUCAG